UAUCAAUAAGCGGAGGAAAAGAAACCAACAGGGAUUGCCCUAGUAACGGCGAGUGAAGCGGCAACAGCUCAAAUUUGAAAUCUGGCGCAAGCCCGAGUUGUAAUUUGUAGAGGAUGCUUCUGGGUAGCGGCCGGUCUAAGUUCCUUGGAACAGGACGUCACAGAGGGUGAGAAUCCCGUAUGUGAUCGGCGCGCGCCCUCUACGUAGCUCCUUCGACGAGUCGAGUUGUUUGGGAAUGCAGCUCUAAAUGGGAGGUAAAUUUCUUCUAAAGCUAAAUACUGGCCAGAGACCGAUAGCGCACAAGUAGAGUGAUCGAAAGAUGAAAAGCACUUUGGAAAGAGAGUUAAAAAGCACGUGAAAUUGUUGAAAGGGAAGCGCUUACAACCAGACUUGCGGGUGGUGUUCCGCCGGGCUUCUGCCCGGUCUACUCGCCGCUCGCAGGCCAUCAUCGUCUGGGGCCGCCGGAGAAACCGUCAGGAAUGUGGCUCCCUCGGGAGUGUUAUAGCCUGUCGACAUGCGGCGCGCCCCGGGCGAGGUCCGCGCACUGCAAGGAUGAUGGCGUAAUGGUUGUCAGCGGCCCGUCUUGAAACACGGACCAAGGAGUCUAACAUCUAUGCGAGUGUUCGGGUGUCAAACCCCUACGCGUAAUGAAAGUGAACGGAGGUGGGAGCUUCGGCGCACCAUCGACCGAUCCUGAUGUCCUCGGAUGGAUUUGAGUAAGAGCAUAGCUGUUGGGACCCGAAAGAUGGUGAACUAUGCCUGAAUAGGGUGAAGCCAGAGGAAACUCUGGUGGAGGCUCGCAGCGGUUCUGACGUGCAAAUCGAUCGUCAAAUUU
rnacentral:rRNA from 1 species